rnacentral:tRNA from 1 species
UCCCUCGUGGCUCAGAGGUGAAAGCGUCUGCCUGCAACGCAGGAGGCACGGGUUCAAUCCCUGGGUCGGGAA